AAAUGGCGUGCCCGGAGUGUACACAUCGUGACAGCGCUCCGCCUUCAAAUCGAGGGCCUUUUGCAAGGCGGAUGGACGGCUCAUAUAAAAGUUAGUCAGCAUGAAGCAAUUGCAUGGGAACCGGCUGAUUGUCUUGGGCCUACACAUUGCUCAAAAGACAGUGAAGGUGUCUGAGCCGACAGGUAGAAAACAAGCAGAUGGCUACAGCGAUCAGUGAAUAAAUGGCUUCAUCUAUGAUGGCUCGCCAUAGGACAUUGGAAUGGAGCUACACAAAGGCAUCACCAGCCUCGCCUGUGCCCUGGAACAUUGGUUUGAAUAAGACUGUUCUUCAGUGUAGAACGACCACAAGACUUGUCACCACUUACAAGGCAUAGUGCAAGCUAUAAAUAUUGUACAGGUGGCUAGAAUAAAUGACCCUCCAUGCAGUCACUCUUCCUGUAUCUGUGGUAAAUGGGACCAUUUCACGCAGAACACUCACACGUGAUUAUGCGUUUUCUCUCAAAGUUGCUAUGCCAUGCAUUUGGAAACACAUUACGUAUUGUAUGCACACCGUACAUAA
rnacentral:lncRNA from 1 species